GCCCGUGAAGUGAGAGGGUCUGGAGCUGGACAGGAAGAGCAAGUGGACGCUAGCUGGGUCUGGCUGCUCCUCCUCAACCUCUCCUUGGCUCUCUCUCGCAUGCUACAGGCAUAGCUGGCAUGCUCUAUGAAAUGAGCGGGUUGCUCAGCCAAGUGGCCCUCCCUCUUUUCCUGCUGUUUCUGUUGCCGGUGGUUUGCUACUGCUUCACAGUGGCCAUGGGGAAGCCCCAGGAAAGAAGACCAAAGAAGCACCAACGCAAUGGCAAGAAGAGACAUGCCAGAGGUGAGCAGCCCCUGGGCAAUGGCAGAUGCCUUGCAAAGACACCCUCUGACCCCAUAUGCCCACCAUCCUGUCCGGGGAUGUUCCAUCCACUCACUCUCUAUCCUCUGCAACCAGGCUUUGUCUUCCUGAAGUCUUCACAUCUAUCAAGGAAAUGGUAAGUGGAGCCAACCCUCCUCGAACACAACAGACCCCUCCAGUAUUCUCCUGCCAUGGGAGGUCCUACUGACAGUGCCCUCUGCUCCUCUGCAGCUGCUCCGUAGACCUGGAGAUGAAGGCCAUAUAUAAAACAAUCUGUCAGAUCAUAAGAAUCACGGAGGGCAUAACCGCAUACCUAGACACGCUAGAUUGUGGGAUGUCUGAGAGGAGCAACAGCUCCUGGACUACCAUCACAGACAGUGAAGAUGAGUCCUGUUCAAAGGUUUCUGUGUCUCCUUUGAGUGACAGCUCGUGGCUUUCCAUC